rnacentral:rRNA from 1 species
AACGAACGCUGGCGGCAUGCCUAACACAUGCAAGUCGAACGAGACCUUCGGGUCUAGUGGCGCACGGGUGCGUAACGCGUGGGAACCUGCCCUUAGGUUCGGAAUAACUCCCCGAAAGGGGUGCUAAUACCGGAUAAUGUCUUCGGACCAAAGAUUUAUCGCCUGUGGAUGGGCCCGCGUUGGAUUAGCUAGUUGGUAGGGUAAAAGCCUACCAAGGCGACGAUCCAUAGCUGGUCUGAGAGGAUGAUCAGCCACACUGGGACUGAGACACGGCCCAGACUCCUACGGGAGGCAGCAGUGGGGAAUAUUGGACAAUGGGCGAAAGCCUGAUCCAGCAAUGCCGCGUGAGUGAUGAAGGCCUUAGGGUUGUAAAGCUCUUUUACCCGGGAUGAUAAUGACAGUACCGGGAGAAUAAGCUCCGGCUAACUCCGUG